GUCUACGGCCAUACCACCCUGAACGCGCCCGAUCUCGUCUGAUCUCGGAAGCUAAGCAGGGUCGGGCCUGGUUAGUACUUGGAUGGGAGAUUUGUGUAUCUAGAGUAUGUGAAAACC
rnacentral:rRNA from 1 species